GUAGGGUUCUCAUACCUAAUCACCAUGUAGGAUCUGCAGGAGCUCUGAUGAGAAGACGCUGGUCUUGUCUUCAAUAUGAUUAGGUCAAGAGGGAAAAUAAGGUACCAGAACAUGCACUCGGAAUUGUGACCGAACUAGAGGAAGAGUGGACAUCAUUCCACAGUCUUGUGCUUGAGCUUGAGGCACGAUCCGGUGGAACUGUGGUCUGUCUUCCCUCGAAGAGGAGGAAGAAGAGCACCAGGAAUUCGUUGUCAUUUCCUCUUACAGCAUCAUUUUGCACAUGAUAAGGGUACAAAGUGGAGUGAGACUCCCUACUGGUGACCAAGCUCAAAGUCAGAACACGUCCAGUCGAGGCAGUGUGAUUGGCCCAAUCCCUGAGGCUGUUCAGGAGAGCGUGAGGAUGCCGGGGAGUGCCUAACUUACCCUGGAGAAAAGGUAACACUCAGGCUGCCUUUGAAAGGUAAGUUGGAAGUUGCAACAAAGAGGAGGAAGGUCAAAGGAGUCUUAGGCAGAAGGAACAGUGAGUGCUGAGACAUGGAAAAGGGCGAAGGAACAGUCUGCAGAAAAGUGGGCAGCUCAUUAUGGCCGCAGCUGCGGGUGCCUUGUGGAGAAGUGAUGGCAGAGGACGCUGGAUAGGAGGCAUGAGUACAGGUGUUAUCAUGCAUACGAUAGAAAGCUCAGAGUCUAGCCUGGCAAGGAGAUGAUGGAAAUAUAUUAAGUGAGCAAAAACAUCACCAGACACAAAUUUUAGAAAAACUGCUCUAUUUGUGGAGAAUGGAGAGAAAUGUACUCCUUGUCCAUUCUUGCCCAUCUUAAUAAAUGGGAAAAUCAGCCAUCCAAAUGUUCAAACCUCAAUCCUAAGUGUCAUUCUUUACUUCUCGUGUGGGCUCACUCCCCAUAUCUAAAAUACGUACUAAAUCUCUUUUCUUUGUUUCAUUCUCCAUCACCAUUUUCCCUUACCUAGAUUGUUGUAAUAGUCCCCUAAUGUGCUUUUCUGAUUCAGGCUCUGCUCGUAUGCGAUCCAAUCUCCCAGGACAGCAAGAGUGAACUAAUCAAAAAUUAGAUUAUAUUUAAUAAUAUUCUUCCCUGCUUAAAACUCUCCAGUACCAUCUUGAUGCUCCUAGCUCCUAGAGUGAAAUCCAGACUCCUUUCAAUAUCCAAUGAAGCCGCGUGAUCUGCUACCAGCCCCC